UGUAGCGUCUGUCUCUGUGUGUGGUGUGUGUGUGCGUGGAGCUGCUCUGCCCAGGGCUGUCGAGUCGGGGAUAGGCGGAAUAGCAAUAGGAGCGUACGGUUAGCGUGCCGAUACGGCCCGUCCGGAAUUGUUUGGCUCUCACUCGGCAUCUGGGUGACUUGUUUGAUAACUCGGUGUGAUUUUUCCAGAUGCGGACUGGCUAGAUGCCCACCGACGAGCGGCAGAGGAGGAGAGCAGAGCGCCGUAAGAAGGUGGCGGUCAGGCCUCGGCACGGCAGGCCGAAGAAUCCGACUCCGAGCGGCUGAGGAAAAGGGACGGGCGAGAGGAAGGCGUUUCCCAGGAGGGCUUCGUCGCAGCGGAGGUCGACGCCGGGCGGCACGUCGGCGACCGGCGACGCUCUGUCUCGUGAGGGAUGAAGCGGAACCCGGCGGAUGGGGGAGCGUCCCGGUUAGAUGACUUUUUCCCCAUGAGAAGGGAAUCUGGAUUCUGCCCUCUGAAAGGACGAGAACUCCAACUAUCCGGACGGGUCGACGGGCCUGGACCUCUCUCUCUCCUCCCCAAGCAGGGACGCCUCUUUGGUGCCACGGCACGAUUUGGAUUCCCGCACGACACCCUCGAGUGAGGUUUUUGUGGAGUAUCCAAGUAACAGCGAAGGAGCGGUGCAGUUAGCAAGGCAUAUUCCCCGGUCCCUGCCUAUGAGCGCUAACUCUACAGAGUCAGGCGCAGCGGCGAUGGUGUCUUAAGGGACAGGGCAGGGAAUCAGAGUAGCUAUCCAGGUGUCCGCAAGCUGCAUUUGUUUGGCCGGGGGGUUGAAGCGGAGGAUCCAGAUUCCAUUGUAGUAGAGAGCUCUGGAACGAGAAGAAUGUUAAGCGAAGCAGGAGAGAUGGACUGUCAAUGUGCCCGAGCUAAUAACUGUCAUUGCUCUGAGUCCUUGCUGUGGUGAUAGUGCAUCACUGGAAACCUAUGUAUUAAUGCCUAAUGUUGUUGUUCUUUAAAGAAAGUAACAAUACAGGUGAAGUAAGAAAGAAUGAUUUUU